rnacentral:ncRNA from 1 species
GUAAAGGCAUUGAUGAAGAGGAGUACACGUAAGUUCGUCCAUACCAGAGAGAGUGAUCCAUCGGCUGAGAGGCACUUAAGGAAUACGAGACGUAGGAAGGUAGCUUCGGAGCCGGAUGAGUGAACCUGAGACAUAUGAUAAGACGGUAGUAGUUCAUCCCGGAGUCGUUCCCGUUAAAGAAUAAGAUGAGAUAUAUGGGGAAGAGUUUUCCUGUAUAAUGAAGGUGGUACCGCGACUACAAUCGCCCUUUAC